AUUGAACGCUGGCGGCAUGCUUUACACAUGCAAGUCGAACGGCAGCGCGGGCUUCGGCCUGGCGGCGAGUGGCGAACGGGUGAGUAAUACAUCGGAACGUGCCCAGUAGUGGGGGAUAGCUCGGCGAAAGCCGGAUUAAUACCGCAUGCGACCUGAGGGUGAAAGCGGGGGAUCUUCGGACCUCGCGCUAUUGGAGCGGCCGAUGGCAGAUUAGCUAGUUGGUGGGGUAAAGGCCUACCAAGGCGACGAUCUGUAGCUGGUCUGAGAGGACGACCAGCCACACUGGGACUGAGACACGGCCCAGACUCCUACGGGAGGCAGCAGUGGGGAAUUUUGGACAAUGGGCGAAAGCCUGAUCCAGCAAUGCCGCGUGUGUGAUGAAGGCCUUCGGGUUGUAAAGCACUUUUGGCGGGAACGAAAAGGACUGUGCCAAUACCGCGGUUCGAUGACGGUACCCGCAGAAUAAGCACCGGCUAACUACGUG
rnacentral:rRNA from 1 species